CCUGACCUCGGAUCAGACGUGAAU
rnacentral:rRNA from 1 species